UAGGGAAUCUUCGGCAAUGGACGAAAGUCUGACCGAGCAACGCCGCGUGAGUGAAGAAGGUUUUCGGAUCGUAAAACUCUGUUGUUAGAGAAGAACAAGGACGUUAGUAACUGAACGUCCCCUGACGGUAUCUAACCAGAAAGCCACGGCUAACUACGUGCCAGCAGCCGCGGUAAUACGUAGGUGGCAAGCGUUGUCCGGAUUUAUUGGGCGUAAAGCGAGCGCAGGCGGUUUCUUAAGUCUGAUGUGAAAGCCCCCGGCUCAACCGGGGAGGGUCAUUGGAAACUGGUAGACUUGCGUGCAGAAGAGGAGAGUGGAAUUCCAUGUGUAGCGGUGAAAUGCGUAGAUAUAUGGAGGAACACCAGUGGCGAAGGCGGCUCUCUGGUCUGUAACUGACGCUGAGGCUCGAAAGCGUGGGGAGCAAACAGG
rnacentral:rRNA from 1 species